ACACUCAGGUGGUGAGGUGUAGUGGAGGACCAACACUCAGGUGGUGAGGUGUAGUGGAGGACCAACACUCAGGUGGUGAGGUGUAGUGGAGGACCAACACUCAGGUGGUGAGGUGUAGUGGAGGACCAACACUCAGGUGGUGAGGUGUAGUGGAGGACCAACACUCAGGUGGUGAGGUGUAGUGGAGGUCCAACACUCAGGUGGUGAGGUGUAGUGGAGGUCCAACACUCAGGUGGUGAGGUGCAGUGGAGGACCAACACUCAGGUGGUGAGGUGCAGUGGAGGUCCAACACUAAGGUGGUGAGGUGCAGUGGAGGACCAACACUCAGGUGGUGAGGUGCAGUGGAGGACCAACACUAAGGUGGUGAGGUGUAGUGGAGGUCCAACACUCAGGUGGUGAGGUGUAGUAGAGGUCCAACACUAAGGUGGUGAGGUGCAGUGGAG